rnacentral:rRNA from 1 species
AGAGCGAACGUUAGCGGGAGGCUUAACACAUGCAAGUCGAGCGAGAAAAGGACUUCGGUCCCCAGUACAGCGGCGGACGGGUGAGUAACACGUGGAUAAUCUGCCCUUUGGCGGGGGACAACAGCUCGAAAGGGCUGCUAAUACCGCAUAAGUCUAUCGACCCCCUGGGGACGGUAGGGAAAGAUGGCCUCUAUUUAUAAGCUAUCACCGAAGGAUGAGUCCGCGUUGCAUCAGCUUGUGGUGGGGUAAAGCCUACCAAGGCAAAGACGCAUAGCUGGUCUGAGAGGAUGAUCAGCCACACUGGGACUGAGAUACGGCCCAGACUCCGUACGGGAGCAGCAGGUGGGGAAUAGUUAGGACAAGUGGGCGCGAAGCCUGACUCCAGCCAGUCCCGCGUGAGUGAUGAAGGCUCGUCGGUACGUAAGCUCGUGGUAGGGAG